AUCCUGGCUCAGAUUGAACGCUGGCGGCAUGCCUUACACAUGCAAGUCGAACGGUAACGGGCCUUCGGGUGCCGACGAGUGGCGAACGGGUGAGUAAUGCAUCGGAACGUACCUUUCAGUGGGGGAUAACGCAGCGAAAGUUACGCUAAUACCGCAUAUUCUGUGAGCAGGAAAGCAGGGGAUCGCAAGACCUUGCGCUGAUUGAGCGGCCGAUGCCAGAUUAGCUAGUUGGUGAGGUAAAGGCUCACCAAGGCGACGAUCUGUAGCGGGUCUGAGAGGAUGAUCCGCCACACUGGAACUGAGACACGGUCCAGACUCCUACGGGAGGCAGCAGUGGGGAAUUUUGGACAAUGGGGGCAACCCUGAUCCAGCCAUGCCGCGUGAGUGAAGAAGGCCUUCGGGUUGUAAAGCUCUUUCGGCCGGGAAGAAAUCGUAUGGGCUAAUACCCUGUGCGGAUGACGGUACCGGCAUAAGAAGCACCGGCUAACUACGUG
rnacentral:rRNA from 1 species